CUUGGUCAUUUAGAGGAAGUAAAAGUCGUAACAAGGUCUCCGUUGGUGAACCAGCGGAGGGAUCAUUACCGAGUUUACAACUCCCAAACCCAAUGUGAACCAUACCAAACUGUUGCCUCGGCGGGGUCACGCCCCGGGUGCGUCGCAGCCCCGGAACCAGGCGCCCGCCGGAGGGACCAACCAAACUCUUUUCUGUAGUCCCCUCGCGGACGUUAUUUCUUACAGCUCUGAGCAAAAAUUCAAAAUGAAUCAAAACUUUCAACAACGGAUCUCUUGGUUCUGGCAUCGAUGAAGAACGCAGCGAAAUGCGAUAAGUAAUGUGAAUUGCAGAAUUCAGUGAAUCAUCGAAUCUUUGAACGCACAUUGCGCCCGCCAGUAUUCUGGCGGGCAUGCCUGUCCGAGCGUCAUUUCAACCCUCGAACCCCUCCGGGGGGUCGGCGUUGGGGACCUCGGGAGCCCCUAAGACGGGAUCCCGGCCCCGAAAUACAGUGGCGGUCUCGCCGCAGCCUCUCCUGCGCAGUAGUUUGCACAACUCGCACCGGGAGCGCGGCGCGUCCACGUCCGUAAAACACCCAACUUUCUGAAAUGUUGACCUCGGAUCAGGUAGGAAUACCCGCUGAACUUAAGCAUAUCAAUAAGCGGAGGA
rnacentral:rRNA from 1 species